rnacentral:rRNA from 1 species
UUUUAUGGAGAGUUUGAUCCUGGCUCAGAGUGAACGCUGGCGGCGUGCCUAAUACAUGCAAGUCGAACGAUGAAGCUUCUAGCUUGCUAGAGUGCUGAUUAGUGGCGCACGGGUGAGUAACGCAUAGGUUAUGUGCCUCUUAGUUUGGGAUAGCCAUUGGAAACGAUGAUUAAUACCAGAUACUCCCUACGGGGGAAAGAUUUAUCGCUAAGAGAUCAGCCUAUGUCCUAUCAGCUUGUUGGUAAGGUAAUGGCUUACCAAGGCUAUGACGGGUAUCCGGCCUGAGAGGGUGAACGGACACACUGGAACUGAGACACGGUCCAGACUCCUACGGGAGGCAGCAGUAGGGAAUAUUGCUCAAUGGGGGAAACCCUGAAGCAGCAACGCCGCGUGGAGGAUGAAGGUUUUAGGAUUGUAAACUCCUUUUGUUAGAGAAGAUAAUGACGGUAUCUAACGAAUAAGCACCGGCUAACUCCGUGCCAGCAGCCGCGGUAAUACGGAGGGUGCAAGCGUUACUCGGAAUCACUGGGCGUAAAGAGCGCGUAGGCGGGAUAGUCAGUCAGGUGUGAAAUCCUAUGGCUUAACCAUAGAACUGCAUUUGAAACUACUAUUCUAGAGUGUGGGAGAGGUAGGUGGAAUUCUUGGUGUAGGGGUAAAAUCCGUAGAGAUCAAGAGGAAUACUCAUUGCGAAGGCGACCUGCUGGAACAUUACUGACGCUGAUUGCGCGAAAGCGUGGGGAGCAAACAGGAUUAGAUACCCUGGUAGUCCACGCCCUAAACGAUGGAUGCUAGUUGUUGGAGGGCUUAGUCUCUCCAGUAAUGCAGCUAACGCAUUAAGCAUCCCGCCUGGGGAGUACGGUCGCAAGAUUAAAACUCAAAGGAAUAGACGGGGACCCGCACAAGCGGUGGAGCAUGUGGUUUAAUUCGAAGAUACACGAAGAACCUUACCUAGGCUUGACAUUGAGAGAAUCCGCUAGAAAUAGUGGAGUGUCUGGCUUGCUAGACCUUGAAAACAGGUGCUGCACGGCUGUCGUCAGCUCGUGUCGUGAGAUGUUGGGUUAAGUCCCGCAACGAGCGCAACCCCCUUUCUUAGUUGCUAACAGGUCAUGCUGAGAACUCUAAGGAUACUGCCUCCGUAAGGAGGAGGAAGGUGGGGACGACGUCAAGUCAUCAUGGCCCUUACGCCUAGGGCUACACACGUGCUACAAUGGGGUGCACAAAGAGAAGCAAUACUGCGAAGUGGAGCCAAUCUUCAAAACACCUCUCAGUUCGGAUUGUAGGCUGCAACUCGCCUGCAUGAAGCUGGAAUCGCUAGUAAUCGCAAAUCAGCCAUGUUGCGGUGAAUACGUUCCCGGGUCUUGUACUCACCGCCCGUCACACCAUGGGAGUUGUGUUUGCCUUAAGUCAGGAUGCUAAAUUAGCUACUGCCCACGGCACACACAGCGACUGGGGUGAAGUCGUAACAAGGUAACCGUAGGUGAACCUGCGGUUGGAUCACCUCCUUUCUAGA